rnacentral:lncRNA from 1 species
GCCCCUCCCCGCCCCGGGCUGCGGCGGCUCCCGGGACCCAUCGGGGCGCGGCGCGCGAACUUUCCGCCGGGCGCCGGCCCAGCGCCUCCCCGCCCCACAUCUCUGGGCCGCGUCCCCGGCUUCCCCCAAGGGGCUAGUCCCCUGAGGCUGCGCCUGGCCCCCUCCGGGACUGGAUCAUGAUAGCGAAUUAGGGACGUUCAGGACUUGGUGUCUGCAGCCUCCUCCGACCGCUCUGGGCCUGCCCUAUGUUGUCUGUGCUACAUCGACGGAGGGCCAAUGUCUUGCUUCUGUCGGCGGGAGGAGGGAGAGCGAAAGCCGAGAUAGGGGCCUACAGAUUCAGGAGUCCUGGGUUCGCCAGCACCCCUCAGGAAUCCCAGGCAGCCAAUUCAGGCUGGGAGGCACAGCCCUCUCCACACCCGAAGGCCUUUAGGCCAGCCUUGGUCUCGGAACGAUCAGCUAGGACUGCUGCUGCCUUGUGCGGCCUGAGGGAACGUGCACGGGUCACCCCAAUGGUGUGUCUGGAGCAGCGAAUACAGAAGUUGCUGUAAGUGGAUUUAUUGGCAACCCCUAACCUCGCUGUGGCAAACCCGCCUUUAAAGACAACUGUGUUUUAAAUAAGUUCCUCAUAAAAACUUCAACCUCGUGCAGAGCUUCCCAGUACUGUAAAGAUACCCGGCGAUAAGUAUCCAUAUUUAAAGUUCUUAUGAGAAGAGACAGGAAGCAAAAUGCCACACAAUCUUUCUAUGUAAAUAAAAGAUGACUCAAGUUUGCUGGAUUUUUCAUCCAUAGUUUCAAAGGCCUGAUAUUACUGUGCUGAUAUUUGAGCAAUAAACAUAUCAACAGCCUUGAAGUCUUCCUGAAACAAAGCAGGAUAUGAAUAUUUAAAAUAAAAUAUAAACUUGUUAAACCAG